UGCCCGCGAGGGGAGCCCUAGCACAGGUGCUGCAUGGCCGUCGUCAGCUCGUGCCGUGAGGUGUUGGGUUAAGUCCCGCAACGAGCGCAACCCCCGCCGUUAGUUGCCAGCGGUUCGGCCGGGCACUCUAACGGGACUGCCCGCGAAAGCGGGGAGGAAGGAGGGGACGACGUCUGGUCAGCAUGGCCCUUACGGCCUGGGCGACACACGUGCUACAAUGCCCACUACAAAGCGAUGCCACCCGGCAACGGGGAGCUAAUCGCAAAAAGGUGGGCCCAGUUCGGAUUGGGGUCUGCAACCCGACCCCAUGAAGCCGGAAUCGCUAGUAAUCGCGGAUCAGCCAUGCCGCGGUGAAUACGUUCCCGGGCCUU
rnacentral:rRNA from 1 species